rnacentral:lncRNA from 1 species
GGCAGACCGUAUUUCCCCAACUAAAAGCCAAACCAAACGAUGAAUUGAAAUCCUCCUCCCGGUUUCCUCUCUUCGCACAUUCGCCGUGAACGAUCGACACGCCAGCAGGCCAAGGUUUGGGCUCCCCCUCCCUUCUCCGUCAAUCCACUCGCGGAUUAUCUCGUGCGCGGCUUAAUCGUUGCUGUGUGCUGUCUCUUGUUAUUUCCCGUGAAGGACUUGCUCUGGGGUUAGGUUUUCAGGCGUCGUCUGUGAUUCUCGGUUCCUUUUCGGUUGUUCCUGUCUCCGCGAGUUGGUCGUCCCCAAGGAAUGCGUAAGCUUCCGGUUUACUCUGUUGAUGUAUUGUGCUCUAUGCAAGAUAUUGCAGAGGAAUUGCCGUCUGUAACAGGGUCGUAGUACUGGUCCCCUAAAUUAAUUGCUUAAGUAGCCUAUUAAUCAUGAUUUCGUGUUCAUCUUGGUGAUUAUAGGUAUUUAGGGCAUCUGUAUUUGUUGAUUGUGAUGCCAAGAUUGGUCCUUAUGUAUGGGCUAUACUCAUGGUAAGAUUAGCCAACAGUUCAAGCCCUAUCUGGAAUGCGGGAAUUUGCUUGUACUUAGUUGUGGAACAGUUUAAUUACCGCAAAAACCUAGGGUUGUGUUCCCAGUUUGAGUAAAUGAUGUCAUUGAGAUGUCUGUAGCUUUAUAUUCCCAUGCUCGAUUACUUCUUCCUUGUGAUCAUCUAGCUGUAUUAUAUGCUAAAAAAAUAUUCUUUGCCAACGGCUUCAGUGUUCUCUUCCCCUCGGGAUUGUUGCCUUGCUUUAUGAUUAUUAGAUGUGUUCUCUUUAUGAUUCUCUAUUUUUAUUCGUAAAAUUUCCUUGUGGUCAGCUAGGUGUACUAUGCUAAAAGAAAAUCUUCCCCAACUGCUUCAAUGUUCUCUUUUCCCCGAACAGUGUAUGCACAAUCGGUCUUUUAGGAUUGUUACCUUGCUUUAUGAUUAUCAGAUGUGUUCUCUUUAUGAUUCUCUAUUUUUAUUCUUCAUAUUUCGUUAAUGAGUUUAGCUCUUGAGCUGAAGUUAUUGAGUUUUCGUUGCUGUGGUUUAGAGAUGAUUCAAAUUCUGGAAAUUAUUGGCAUUGAAGUACCAUUGAUUGCCUCACCACUAGCAGAAUUAUGUAUUCAGUCUAUCCUAUGUCAGUCCAUAUAGGUCUAGCUAUACAAAUUCUUCACUUUUAUUGUUUUGGAAUUAGCUUCUAUGGAGUUCUCUUUGUUUCCCAACAGGGUUCGUGGUGCCAUGACAUUCUCAUGUGUAUGUUCCUAAUACAACAAUCUGUCUCUGAACUUCGCUUUUGGACUCCUGAGUACAUUUUGUUUGGGAACUGCAUACUAUGUUUGAUUUAAAUGGAGCUCCCAUGCGUAGAACACCUCUUGGAGUAUCAACUUAGCUCUAGAAUCAACCAUAUUUUUUCUGACACGUACAGCAGGGAUACUCCCUGCUCCCAACAUAAAUUUUGUUCAUGUAAGUAAAACCAGCAUACUGCAAAACUCCACAGUUGCCGCAAGGUUAACAAGUGUAGGUUUGAAACAGAGGGAAGGGUGGAAAAUUAGAUUAGGUAAAACCUUGUGGCACUAUACCUUGAUCAUUCUAUAGCACUGGUGCAGCAUCUGGCCCAAGUAUUUUGAGGAGUCUAUCUGUACUUUUAUUAAUCAUUAAUGUGUUGGUACAUAUAUAUUGAGAAAUGAAACUUCUGUCACGGAUGUUUUAGUUUUCUGCUUGUUGGAAACACGACUGCUUCUUGCAAAACCUGUUUGACAGUUCGGAUGAAAUUGUGUCACAUGCCUUAUUUAGUUUGGGAGGUACUAACCUCCUGUUGUAGUUGAGCAGUGUCCGUUCGAAAAGAAAUAUUAUUCUAGUCUUUCACUGAUCAGUUGUGUAAUUGCAUAUGUAUCGAAGCACUAGGGGGUAAACCAAGAAGGUAGAUAGCACAAAAUUCUUCACUAGGACAGUGACAACAGUGACUUUCUGUUAUCCCUACUGUUCCCUUGGUAAAACGUAUAGGAUGUACUUCUCACGAUCAGGACUGCAGCUAAGAUGAACAUGCAAUCUCUCUUUUCUUUUAAUUUUCAGAACAUUUACAGUCUUGCUCACUACUCUGAUUCUUCUUUAUCAGUGGAUGCAAAGUCAAAAACAAGAGCUUUUAGGACUUCAUGUUUUGAAACCAGUUAAAUCAUAUAGUUUCUGUUAUUUUUUCUCAUGCUCCUGUUCUCUGAACAUAUUAGCUGGAAGCAUCACAUAGUUUGUUAGCUUUUUACAGACAAGUGUGCUUUGAUUUUUGUUUAAGAUUGGAGCUAUCUUCAUGUUGUUUGUUCCAUAAAUAUUCUUAUAUACCAUCAAAAUAACUUCUGUUAAUUAUGUUCAGUACUGAUGAAUUUUUCAUUGACUAUUUUGAACACUGUCAUUCUCAAGUUAAGUUUGUACUCUGUAACCUCAUAACCUCAUAAAGAGCAAUAUAUUUGUUUGGCUGUUCUCUGUUAACAAUAUUUACCCCUGUUCUUUCAUGUGCAAUUUGUAAUCAUCUAUCUAACCAUGUUUUCCAUUAGAAGUUAGAAUGCGUCUGUUUGUCUAUUCUAAAACUAAGGUGUAGCAUCCAAGAGCUUGUCUUCAUUUAGUAUGCUUCAGUUUAUCUAUUGUGGAUUACUCUCUCCAUUCCAAAUUAAUUGAAGUUCUAGCUUUGUCCUUAUUCAAAUUUGACCAAGUCCAUAAGAAAAAUAUAUCAAGACCUACAACGCCAAAUUAGUUUCAUUACACUGAACCGGAUCUUGAAAACGGGAGUGAACUGAAUCCGACUUCUUGGGAUUUCUUACAAAAUGUAUUUCCAUUAUAUAUAUGUUUGGUAUUGUAGAUCUAAGCAUAUUUUUCUAUAGACUUGGUCAAACUCAAAGAAGUUUGACUUAGACAAACCUAGAACUUCAAUAAUUUGGAAGGGUGGGAGUUUUGGUUUCUACUCCCUCCGUUCCUAAAUAUAAGUCCUUUUAGAGAUUCCACUACAAACUACAUAUGGAUGUAUAUAGACAUUUUUUAGAGUGUGGAUUCACUCAUUUUGCUCCAUAUGUAUUCCAUAGUGAAAUCUCUAAAAAGCCUUAUAUUUAGAAACGGAGGGAGUAGAAUUUAGCAUCCUGAGCUUGCCCUUAAUUUGCUACACUCCAACUAUCCAUCUUGCAAUUAUAAAUGGUAUUGUUUCUUCACUUGCCUUGUUUCUUUCCAUGUAUGAAAAAAAUGGUUUCCAACUCAUAUUGGGUAUUUCUGUUUUGAUGUCAAACGAACCUCGGAAUAUUUGCAUAAUUUCUUAUUUUUAUUAGUGUGUAAUGUAUCGGCAUCAUCAAGCCAACAAUGCCUGGACUGUUUCUGAUGGACCAAAAUGUGUAGGGUUCGAUAUCUUUUUUUAUUGUUAUUUUGGUUAGGUAAUUUAUGCAUAUGAUAUUCACUGUUGUGCAGAUCGGUUUUUUCAGCAUCACUAGAGUCAAGGAGGCUUCCCUUGGACUGGCGCUAUGCACGCCCAUCAUAUUUUAUUUAGGUUAUGCCUAGAACUCUAAUAAGUGGAGCUUAGCAGUAGCAUACAGUGACUUAUUACUGGAUUUCACCGUUAUAAGCACAUACUUAUAAAUAUUAAAUCAUGACGCAAAUUGUAUAUUUAGGAAUUGUCCCCAGUAUCCACCUUAUUAUUUUGCUUGUUGUUAGGCUAUAGUAAGUGUUGCUGCAACUUGGAAUUUGGUCGCAGCAUGCUCUUUCACUAUUUUUUUUGUCUAUUUUUAUCAAUGUAUUAUUAAUGUCAAGUCACUGUAUACACUCCUGUUUUGAAACAACAUUGACGUACUGAUGAGAUUUUAUUUUCUCUUGUUUUGAAACAGGAGUCUGGACUGGAUACACUCCUUCUCUUUUGUCCCGUGUGAUAAAAGAUUUAUAGCUUAUAAUAUCACAACAAUGUACAUAUUCAUUACCACUGAACUUGUAACUGCAGUAUUUGUGUAAUUCUAUAUAUCCAUUCAUCUUGUUUUUUCCAUAUUGCAUUUGGGAUCAUGGUAGAGGUUCAUCUGAGGUAUUUCUUCUUUUCGUCAAGAAAUCAUAAAAGCGUUCUAGAUCUUCAGUAUUGUGUAACAGCUAGAUACUCAUUCAUGCUGUCUUUGUUUUCUCUUUUUUUAACUGAAGAAACACUUCAUCUUAGGUUUUAAAACAGUUUCCGCUUAUUUUUCAGUGCCAUUUAGAAGAUUUUGGUGGCCAGAGAACAAAGCAAGUCACCGAACCAUGCUCAUGGUCUGCUGGAAUAUCACACUAAAACUUCAUGCUGGUAAGUUUCCUCAUUUGUCAUGAACCCUGAAUGAUUAACCUCGUACAAACCAGACAUCAAAUAUAUUUCAGUACAUGGUAGUCAUGCAAAACUUGCAUCUGUCAUAUUAGGAACUCAUUGUUGUCGAUAUGUACAUGUUAACUGAUGUUGGGCCUCCACAACCCACUACUGGCAUGACUAAAAGAGCCAGUCUUACAUCUUUUGUUAGGGAAGCUACUAUACAUCUUAGACUUGUGGAGUAAUUUACAAGAUGCACAUACAAAUCUCUUCGGCACCUGAACAAAAUCACUAAUUCCAACACACCUAGUGUGCUGCCACACAUGGCAUGAGUCACAAGAUAGCAUCCUCUCACCAUCAUCAUCCUUCGCUCCACAUGAACAAUUAACUGUCCAUUUGUCUACACCCCUCUCCAUUCGAUAAAUUGCAACCCUGCGCUCACCUCCAACACACUUGCCUUGGAUGCUGACAGUCCCUUUUGCUCCAAAUAAGAGCUUGACUUGAGUUGUGUCAUCUGCAGUUGGACAAUCAAGAAGCUGGUUUGCUACAAAGCUUUGUAGCAUCAAGUAGAUACUUUGGAAUGUUCUCGCAGCCUCCAUCUUCAGAUCAGCAACAGUAGCUGUUUGCGGAAGUGUUAAAAGUUCU